GAACUCUUCCUAAAUGGCUUGUUCCUGCUGAGAUCUCUCCUCAAAACAUGGGGUUUGCUUUUGUUUGGAUCUGAAACAGAAGGAGGGUUUUCCCACACCCUGCUCUGAUCCUUCUUUUCAUCACAAAUUUCACAUUUUGAAAUCUUUUGCCCAUCUGACAGGGGCAGAGGAAGAAAAUCCACCUUACUCUAUGUCUUUGCAACAGGAGAGAGGGGCAAGCUAACGCAGUUCACCUGUUCUGCUCUUCUGGGAGGUGAGCGAGGGACCGAGACACCAAGAGCCUGCUGGCCUGGCUGCUUGGGGCUGGGGGUCGCACCUUGCAUUGUCCCAGGCUGCCACAGGAGGAGACAUCACAGAAGGGCUUAGGAGAAGUCACAGUGGUGAGGGUCCUCUCUGCACCCAGAAAAAAAUGGAG